UAGCAUAUCACUAAGCGGAGGACAAGAAACUAACCAGGAUUUCCCUAGUAACGGCGAGCGAACCGGAAAGAGCCCAGCUUGAAAAUCGGGGCGCCUCGCGCCCCGAAUUGUAGUCUGGAGAAGGUCCCUCUGCGACGCGCCGGACCCAAGUUCCCUGGAAAGGGACGUCAGAGAGGGUGACAACCCCGUCGAGUCCGGACACUCUGCCGCUCCACGAGAACCUGUCCGCGAGUCGGACUGUUUGGGAAUGCAGUCCUAAGUGGGAGGUAAAUUCCUUCCAAGGCUAAAUAUUGGCAGGAGACCGAUAGCGAACAAGUACCGCGAGGGAAAGAUGAAAAGGACUUUGAAAAGAGAGUUAAAAGUGCUUGAAAUUGCUGGGAGGGAAGCGAAUGGAAGCUGCGGGUGCGCCCCGGUUGGAUGUGGAACGGCCCCCCCAGGUGCUGKUCCGCCGCUCAMCSCGGGGCGCUGGUCAGCGKGGGCUGCCGCGGCGGGACAAGUGCGGGAAAUCGUUUCCCGCCCCCAUGCCGUUGCGGCGGCCGAGGAACGAAGCGCGCGCCCCCCUCAGGAGGACGUGGUCUCUUAAGUACCAACUGCGCGCUCGGGACGCUGGCGUAUUGAGCUCUUCAUCCGACCCGUCUUGAAACACGGACCAAGGAGUCUAACAUGUAUGCGAGCCGGUGGGCGGCAAACCCAUUGAGGCGCAAGGAACCUGACAGGUGGGAGCCCCCAUGUUGAAACAGGGGGCGCACCAUCGACCGACCGUGAUCUUCUGUGAAGGGUUC
rnacentral:rRNA from 1 species